rnacentral:rRNA from 1 species
GUUGAUCCUGGCUCAGAGUGAACGCUGGCGGCAGGCCUAAUACAUGCAAGUCGAACGGCAGCACAGCAGAGCUUGCUCUGUGGGUGGCGAGUGGCGGACGGGUGAGGAAUACGUGGGAAUCUGCCCAGUCGUGGGGGAUAACGUAGGGAAACUUACGCUAAUACCGCAUGCGCCCUUCGGGGGAAAGCCGGGGACCUUCGGGCCUGGCGCGAUUGGAUGAGCCCACGUCGGAUUAGCUUGUUGGCGGGGUAACGGCCCACCAAGGCGACGAUCCGUAGCUGGUCUGAGAGGAUGAUCAGCCACACUGGAACUGAGACACGGUCCAGACUCCUACGGGAGGCAGCAGUAGGGAAUAUUGGACAAUGGGCGCAAGCCUGAUCCAGCCAUGCCGCGUGAGUGAAGAAGGCCCUCGGGUUGUAAAGCUCUUUUGUCCGGAAAGAAAAGCGCCGGGUUAAUACCCUGGUGUCCUGACGGUACCGGAAGAAUAAGCACCGGCU